GCCCGUGUAGCUCAGUUGGCAGAGCGGUUCAUUCGUAAUGAACAGGUCCGGGGUUCAAUUCCCCGCGCGGGCU
rnacentral:tRNA from 4 species